rnacentral:tRNA from 1 species
GGGUAUCUAGCUCAGCUGGCAGAGCACUGGACUUUUAAUCCAAUGGCCUGGAGUUCGAAUCUCCAGAUACUCA